rnacentral:rRNA from 1 species
GAAAGACGGUUUCCUCUUCGGAGGCACCUGCACAGGUGCUGCAUGGCUGUCGUCAGCUCGUGUCGUGAGAUGUUGGGUUAAGUCCCGCAACGAGCGCAACCCUUAUCCCUAGUUGCCAUCAGGUAAAGCUGGGAACUCUGGGGAGACUGCCGGUGAUAAACCGGAGGAAGGCGGGGAUGACGUCAAGUCCUCAUGGCCCUUACAUCCCGGGCUACACACGUGCUACAAUGGCAGGUACAGAGGGCUGCGAAGCCGCGAGGUGGAGCGAAUCCCAGAAAACCUGUCUCAGUCCGGAUUGAAGUCUGCAACUCGACUUCAUGAAGGCGGAAUCGCUAGUAACCGCGAAUCAGCAGGUCGCGGUGAAUACGUUCCCGGGCCUU